UCCGAUUAGUAUUUAUUAUCUGUCAUUGUUGAUAGUUUUCGUUAUUUAACCAUAGAUUAUAUAAAAGCUUUUUAAAGUCGACAAGUAAUUGCAGUAGAAUUGAAAUUGAGAUUUUAUUUUAUUUUUUUUAUUAAAUUGUAUAUUUAAUGAAUCGGACUCUUUCUAGCGCCGUUUAAAUCAUUAAUGUACUUCAUUUUACAAUAUGUAUUAUAAUUAGACGAAUUUUGUAUAUAUUAUCUGUAAUUUUAAGUGUGAUUUUUUUUUCUGUGCAAAAAUAUGUCGUAACAAAGUUACCCGAGUAUUCUGUUAAAUAUUUAUUUUAGUUUGUAAACAAAUAAAUACGAAAAAUUUA